rnacentral:lncRNA from 1 species
CCCAGAGCUAAUUAGCUGCAGAGCUGGCAUCACUAGGCCUGGCUGACUCCAGAGCCCAAGCUUCUAUCACAGAGGAUGCUGGAACAGCUUCCUGUUCUUCAGUGUAAUCAAAGGGUUGCAGGAGGCUGGAGACUAUCCCAGCAGCACAUGGCACAAAGCAAGAACCAGCCCCGGACAGGACGCCAUUCCAUCACAGGUGCACUCACACCCACCAGCACUCACUCAGACUGGGCCCAUUUAGACACACCGAUUCAUCCAACAUGCAUAUCUCUGGGGUGUGGAAGGAAACUGGAUUACCUGGUGAAAACCCACACAGACAUGGGGAGAACAUGCCAGCUCUACACAAACAGUGGCCUGGUGGGGAAUCAAUUUUUUUUUUCUUAUCAGUGUUAUAAAUGAAACAGUGUUGAAGUAAAGGACCUGCUCUACAUUCCAGAAGAGUGAAAAAGCAAACGUAAAAAAGUAUACUUACAGGGGAAGAGAAGCAUAAAAGUCAAGGAAGAAAAGACAAAUGGAUCUAACUGCAUACAGAUUCAAACUUUUGUAUUUCAAAAGUCCUGUAGACAUAAAUUCAUCCUCUAAGGUACCAUAGGAGGUUUCUGAAUAGUAAGAGCUAACAUGUAUUGAAUGCUCACCAGGCACUCUGCUAUGUACUUAAUUUGCUUAUUUUAUUUAAUUCUCACAAGAAUAUUAUGAUUCUACCACAGUUUACUUUUCUCUCCUAUCAUUAGAUGAUAAUUAUUUAUUCUAAUAGAGGGACACUAUAACUAUGAACCUCUAGCUCAGAGGUGCCCGGGAUUUUGCAGCAGUUAGUCGUGGAGCUGAGCUGAAAUGGGUGGUCUCUGUCAAGCCCUCGUCGAUUUACCCAGGAUACUUACUCCUCAUUCUCCCUUUGCAGUGCUUCCUCAGCCAUAAGACUGGCCUGCUUGGCAGUCAUCUGCCCAUCCAUUACUGUGGAAUAGCGUAUCUCACUCCUAUCUCACUCAUCCCGAGGCCAAAGGCUACAGUUUCAUGAACACUGGUUCCCUCUGACUUUUCCUCUAUUGUCUAAGCCAACCCAGGAAAAGGCACCAUAGAAACAGAAAAUAUUAUUAAAGCUCAUAUCACAAAUCCAGGGAUCAUUUCCACUGAGCUGAGACAGAAAACUGAUAUGUUUAUCAGAAAAGAUAACACUUGUCUACAAAGAGUGCUUUCCAGGCCAUAGGAUAAACAGAGGGAGCCGCCAGCUUGACCUCUAGGCAGGGCGUCUGCACGAGGCUGGAGAGUCCGUGCUCUGUCCACCUCCAACAAAAACAGGCUGCUGACUUCAUCCAGCUUCCAGUCCUUUCCCAGACAGGUCCCAGCUCUCGGCCACAGGCUUCCUCCUCUACACAUUUUUAUUAUAAGAAGAUAUUCAAGAAUAAUUAACAAAGUAGAAAUAAAUGAUUUCUCAGAAAAGAUUUAAAAGGCUAAAUAUGUAUAAUGUAAUUAAACAAUGACUAACACUGGCCCCUUCAACAACUUGGCAAUUCCCUUGGGCGAAGGCAUUGUUUAGGCUGGCCUAUGGGCCAAGGAUCACGAGAUGACUCACCCCAACAUGGCCCUCAUCUGUCAGACGCCUCUUCUCCAUUUACUUGUGGAAACAGCAUAGACCUAGACCUGAGUUCAAAUCCUGACUCUGCCACUUAUUUGGCAUGUAGUCUUUAGCAAAAUCCUUAGCCUAAGACUUAAUCCUAACUCUCAGUUUCAUUACCUGUGAAAUGGCAAUAAUAUUUCCUAACUCUUAGAAAUGUUUUGAUGAUUAGUGAUCAUAAAGUAUUCAAGAAAUGUUAUUAGCUUAUUUUCAGAAUUGAGCUUAUUAUUUCCUCAUUCCUACUAUUUUCUCCCAACUCCCCUUUCUGACUCUCUUUUUCUUAAUAGAAAAUUAUCAUAGUAAUAAAUUCACAUGGAUUAAGAAAAAAAGUAAUACUAAAGGGGUAAUGAUAAAAAGCAAGAGUCACAUCUCUCACCCUUUUCAAACUGAGCCUUACUCUACAAAAGUAACUAUUUUUAACAUUUUCUUCUGGUAGUUAUCUCCAUAUUUCAGAUAAUAUGCUUAUAUAAGUUUUUCAUUUUUAAAUAAAAUUUGUACAUGCUAAAUAAAAUUCCAAAAAAAAAGUGCAAAACGGACCAUGUGUGCUUGCCAUGAACACGUGCCUCUCAGGUAUUUGAGUGAUUGACCAAGGGCCCCAGUGCUAUAUUCUGAAAUCCAUCCCCACACACAGAGGCCAUGAUUCAAGGGUGUGAGGGAUACUAAGGCAGGACCAUUCUUGGGAGAUGAGGGACUCCUUAGAAGAGCAACUUUGGCUUGAGCACUGUCCAUCAGCUUUGCUGAAACCUCCUUAGACUGCACCACAUCUAACAUUUUUCCUACCCAACCUUCCUUCUUUCACAGACUUGCAUCAUGGUCUCCAGAGGAGACUCAGUCUCCUGGGCUCUUCCACCUCCCUCCCCAUUUUCCCUCACAGAUGUUCCCCAAUAAAUCUCUUGCACUUAUCCUGCCUUGACAUCAGCUCCUUGGAAGACCUGAACUAACACAGUGGUGCCAAGAGUGGUCUGAGAAUAGGGGCAAUAAAAUGAGGUUCUGAGACUGACUCCCAAAAGACAAGUGAGCAAAGAGGACACUAUCCUGAAUGUUGUGUGUAGCACAGAUGGUCUCCAACAUGCAGUGGUGAUCUAAUCACUGGAAAAUGUCUCCAUGAAGGGAGAUGUCAUGGCAGAUGCAAUGAGUCAAGCAUUUGAAAAACUUUGGGGGAAACAGUGUCUACAAAGACAGUGGGGUGUCCAGUUAUAGCUAAAAUGUACUGACUCCCUGCAGAGAGAUUAUAAGGAACAAGGGCCAUUAAUAAGCAGUUGAAGACUAAAUGUGAGAGCCAGAAGGCCUCUUUGGUAGCUUACAAAGAUGCAGCUAAGAAUAGAAUGAG